GCUCAAGUGGUCUAACGGUUAUGAUGCGACCUUCCCAUAAGGAAGCUUCGAAAAAAGUAAUGACCAUCAAGGUCGCGAACGGGGUUCGACUCCCCGCUUGAGCA